GCGGUGGGACGUUAGUUAGAUAAAUAGGAAUGGGAAAAUAAUUACAGGAUAUAUUUUUUUCCUUUGAAAUUGCAUGCGAGGGAUCCGUUGUGUCGGGGUCGGGAAGGAUUUAGGUUAACCGCCUCGCUCGUUUGCCUUUAAUUCUGGCUGAAAGGGGCGAGCAUCGGGCUCGUGGGAGGGGAUAAUGUGUGUUGUAGUUUGCGCGGGUGAAGGGCAACUUGGGUGGGGAUUUGCUUCCAUACCACUUGCCUUUUAAAUCGGAUGGCUUAUUAUAUAUAAUAUAAUAAUAAUGCCAAUAUCAGGGGUUUUCAGUUCAGUUGUAUAGAAUGCGAAGGUUGUGUGUGCUUUAUUUUUAUAGUUAUAAUUACGUGCGCUGAAGGUGGCAUAUAAUUUCCUUGUACGAGGUGCAAGGCCAAUAAAGUAAACUGAACUGAACUGAAGCCACGUGUUGCAUGGCAAAUCCGAAUCACUGAAGUUCUGGGAAUUCUGGGUUGAGAGGGAUCCCUGGGGGUCGGAGCAAAGCCCGGCCCUCAGUUGGCUUCUGAUGGUUAUAUAGAAGAAUUCUCCUGAAGCAACGUUUUUGUGGCCUUUUUGAUACAGCUACUAAAGUGGCCCUUUACCUUAUGGUAAAACGUGGGAACUAAAAAUACAAUAGGUAAUGUGAUUUACAUCUGAUUUAAGGAGAUGCCUCUCAAACCUCUAGCUGUUGUUUGAGCUUUAGACAUGGACCGUUUUACUCUUGGGUGAUAAAAAGGAAUCGCUGUUUUGCUUUUUUAAAAGAAUUAAUACAUAUGCAAUGUUUGGAACAUGGAGUCCCAAAAUUUGAGGAAACAAAUUUCUCUUGGAGGAUAACCAGGUAUGUUUUUAAAAGGCCAAACAUUUCAUGUUGUGGAUUCUUCAUCAAUGUUGCAGAAAACUCAACUUUCAUCUGAUUUUUCCAUCUGUUUUUUAAAACUUAACUCCCUUUAAUGGAUCAGAUUUCCAAGAGAAAAUGGGGAGAUGAAGUUCAAGGUUUGUCAAAAGUAUAGAAGUCAACGUCUUGUAUUUUACUGAUUUUAUUUAUAAUAAAGAAAUACCUUAAUGUUGCCUUACGUGUUUUGAUUUCUAUACUGUAUUAUUAGAGGGGAUGCUGAAUUCAUAAGCAUUGUAAUAGUGCUUACAAUACUUUGUACA